rnacentral:rRNA from 1 species
AUUGAACGCUGGCGGCAGGCUUAACACAUGCAAGUCGAGCGGAGAUGAGGUGCUUGCACCUUAUCUUAGCGGCGGACGGGUGAGUAAUGCUUAGGAAUCUGCCUAUUAGUGGGGGACAACAUUCCGAAAGGAAUGCUAAUACCGCAUACGUCCUACGGGAGAAAGCAGGGGAUCUUCGGACCUUGCGCUAAUAGAUGAGCCUAAGUCGGAUUAGCUAGUUGGUGGGGUAAAGGCCUACCAAGGCGACGAUCUGUAGCGGGUCUGAGAGGAUGAUCCGCCACACUGGGACUGAGACACGGCCCAGACUCCUACGGGAGGCAGCAGUGGGGAAUAUUGGACAAUGGGGGGAACCCUGAUCCAGCCAUGCCGCGUGUGUGAAGAAGGCCUUAUGGUUGUAAAGCACUUUAAGCGAGGAGGAGGCUACUGAGACUAAUACUCUUGGAUAGUGGACGUUACUCGCAGAAUAAGCACCGGCUAACUCUGUGCCAGCAGCCGCCGUAACAC